UAGUAGUCUUUCUGGCUUUUCUACCCUGC
rnacentral:piRNA from 1 species